AACUUAUGUAAGAGGGACAAGCUAUCCAAAAAAGCCUGUUGUCAUCACUGCAGAUAUGUUAGUUAACUCUUUGCAUUACAUGCAAAGAGAUAAAAACUGCCCCUCUAUCCUUUGGAUAAAAGGACACAUAACUAGUGUGAGUCCAUGCCCUCCCCCAGCUUUGGACUACGUUUAAAAGAAAGAGCUAUCCCCCGGUGAAAGGCAAGAGUAUAAUCUAUCCUGGAAGCACCGAUCCCCUCUACUCUCUCAUCCAUCCAGCCUUAAGAGUGAGCACAAAGAGCUAUGUAUGCUGGAAUUUUGCAAGUUAAACAGCAGCUGCCUCUAGAAUGCAGAUAAGGCUGCAUCACCAGUUUCUCCCGACAUGAUAAAGAAGCACACAUCUAUAAGUAUGGCAAGCAAAAUGGAAAUCAUGAGAAAAGUGGAAGCUUGUGAAAAAAAGUCAUCCCUGGAUGCAUUUUGGGAGAAGCUUUCAAGUGGUCCUUAGAAGUUUUAUGUGUCAUUUUGCAUAUGCAUAUUGUUAAAUAAAAUGUUUGCUGA